CAAUAGCGUAUAUUUAAGUUGUUGCAGUUAAAAAGCUCGUAGUUGGAUUUCGGGUGUCAUCUGCCGGUCCGCCGUGUCGGUGUGCACUGGCGGGCGUCAUCUUUCUGUCGAGGACGCGCUCCUGUCCUUCACUGGUCGGGACGCGGAGUCGGCGAGGUUACUUUGAAAAAAUUAGAGUGUUCAAAGCGGGCUUACGCUUGAAUAUAUUAGCAUGGAAUAACACUAUAGGACUCCUGUUCUAUUUUGUUGGUCUUCGGGACGGGAGUAAUGAUUAAGAGGAGCAGUUGGGGGCAUUCGUAUUUCAUUGUCAGAGGUGAAAUUCUUGGAUUUAUGAAAGACGAACUUCUGCGAAAGCAUUUGCCAAGGAUGUUUUCAUUAA
rnacentral:rRNA from 1 species